ACGUAUGGUGCAAGCGUUAUCCGGAUUUACUGGGUGUAAAGGGAGCGUAGACGGCUGUGUAAGUCUGAAGUGAAAGCCCGGGGCUCAACCCCGGGACUGCUUUGGAAACUAUGCAGCUAGAGUGUCGGAGAGGUAAGUGGAAUUCCCAGUGUAGCGGUGAAAUGCGUAGAUAUUGGGAGGAACACCAGUGGCGAAGGCGGCUUACUGGACGAUGACUGACGUUGAGGCUCGAAAGCGUGGGGAGCAAACAG
rnacentral:rRNA from 2 species